rnacentral:rRNA from 1 species
AGAUUGAACGCUGGCGGCAUGCCUUACACAUGCAAGUCGAACGGCAGCACGGGAGCAAUCCUGGUGGCGAAUGGCGAACGGGUGAGUAAUACAUCGGAACGUGCCCAAUCGUGGGGGAUAACGCAGCGAAAGCUGUGCUAAUACCGCAUAAGAUCUACGGAUGAAAGCAGGGGAUCGCAAGACCUUGCGCGAAUGGAGCGGCCGAUGGCAGAUUAGGUAGUUGGUGAGGUAAAGGCUCACCAAGCCUUCGAUCUGUAGCUGGUCUGAGAGGACGACCAGCCACACUGGGACUGAGACACGGCCCAGACUCUACGGGAGGCAGCAGUGGGGAAUUUGGACAAUGGGCGAAAGCCUG